rnacentral:lncRNA from 1 species
UUAAAAACAAAGCGCUAUAAAAAGUUUAGUAAACAAAUGUUCUAUUACACUUGUUUACUAAACUUUUUAUAGGGCUUUGUUUUUAAGUAGAGCUGCUGACUGUCUACUAUCUAAAGCAAUUGUCAAAAUAAAUCUUAUCAAAACACUGUUACAUAUAACAGUGUUUUGAUAAGAUGCGGUUUUGUGAUUGUAAAAUGUGUAACUGUAUAGCAUAAGCUGUGAGAACAGUUGCACACUUUAAUGAUUAAUGUUUUAUAUGAAUUUUUUAUUAAAUCAAAGUUAUAUACUUUUUUAAGUGGGGCCCAGACCACAGACUUGUCAUGAGCCCGAAAAUUUCUCUUGGCGGCCCUGUUUUUAAAUAUUUAAUUAUCCAAUCUUUCUCAAAAUCCAUUUAAGAAAUCUGAAGCAUUCUUUAGUUGCAUUAGUUUUCAAUUUUCAGAAUUUGUAUUCUGAAAAUUGUAAAUUGAUGGGGAAUUCUUUGGAAGAUUGAAAAUGUUUUUUAAAUAAAUGUCUAUCCUUAUUUUUUGGACUUAAUUGCAAUUAGUGCUUUGUUUUUAAAUGUUCAUUUCAUAAUUUAACAGAGUUUUUGAAAUGGAAGGAUGGAUGGAUGGAUUUUUGGCCUUCACAAGGCUGAAUAAUCAAUUCAACAAAUAGGGACACUAUAAUCCAAAGAAAUAGAAAUAGAAUCUAGAAAUAGUUGAGAGAAAGAUUAAUUCAUAAAGUCAGAACAUAUAGGUGAUUAAUCAGUAUGAUGAUAAUUUAAUUCAUCAACAAGUCCUAGCAACUCCUGCAGCUAUUCUCUCGAAUAUCAGACAAAUGAUGAUAAUCACCAUCAGACAACCUAUCAUCCAUCAACCAAUUUCCAAUCAACUUUUAGAAGUAGCAUGUGUGUUAUCUAUUGUGCUGCUUACUGGCUGUUAAUAUCAAUUCAUCAUCAACAGUACUUGGAUUGAUGCCAUUCCAAAAGUAAAAACUGGAAAGCAGAAAGGUGUCUGUUGUCUUCAAUGACAGGGUCUCACUUCUGCUUAUGAUUUGACAAUGGAUAGAGGUGAUGUGCCAAAAAAGAUAAUCCUGACAAUAUUUGAAUGACCUAUAGACAUAAUACUCUUAAUUCUGUAAAGCACUAUCAAGCAGUCCAAAAUAAACUCUUUAGAAAGCUUAUUAAAAGAGCUUACAUUCACUGCACAAGAGUGGAGGAGUUUGACAAAGAAAUAAAAGAAAUAGAAGAGGUUGCAAUAAAACAUGACUAUAACAGGAAACUAAUACGUGACCUAAUGAGGAGUUUACAGCCAAAUGACAAUGAUGAUCCCCC